GUAAUGAGGACACUUUACUACAGCAUUACUAAAACCCCACUAUGACUGGGAAAAACUUCCAGCUACAUUCAGCUGCAGACAAUCAGUCAUCAGAGAUGCUUCAUGGCACAUCUACACGACUCUCUUCCCCAGGCUUCCCAGGCCUGAAAUGCAGAGAAGUAUUGGACAUUCAGCCUGAAAAUCCAGCCAACAAUCUCUGUGCUUCAAUUCAUUCUACAGAACAUAUCUUUGUACAGAUUUACAGGCCUAGAACUCAGUAAACAGCAUCUCUAUGCAAGUUUCUAGCAGUCAUCUUCUGGAAUUUCAGUUUCAUUUGCAUUUUUACCAUCAUAUAACAACUCCAGACAGAACCACCACUGGAGUUUUUCAGAAAGAAUUAGUGGUAUUUAUUUGGCAUCCAACUUUUGGGGAUUAAAUGAGAGCAAAAAUCUCAAACUCUGACAUAGAUUACCCCUGAUGCAUCCUUUCUAACCUCUGGCUGUGGACAUACUUCCUAGUAAACCAAGUGCAUGCAGAGACCUACUCUUACAUUCACUCAAUCCAAAAGACCAAUUCAAGAACAUACGUGACACUUAGCUAUGAAUGCAAAAAAUUUUUAAGGCUGUCAAAUAACUCUGCCUACACUGACUGCUUGAGCUAACAGGGUUUUCAACAGUGAAGUCAAGACCUGGCACAGUGUAUCAUACACCUUCACUAGAAACUCUUUAAUCUGAGGGAAAAAGAUGAAGCUCCUUCAAUCUUUUAUACUGGGAGUGUUUCUUUGAAAUAAGUAUCAAAAUCAGCCACAUUCUUCACAAUCUAACAUCAAAGUAUUGGAGGUUGGUGGGGUUUUUCUUGUGGCUGUUUUAUGGCUUUUUUAUUUAAUUAAGCCAGGAAAGAAGACCGCACAGUAGAAAAAAAAUCGCUUCAGGAAUUUUUUUUUUUUCCCCAGUAUACUCGUGCAAAACUUCAUCAGAACAAAAAGCAUAAAUAACAG
rnacentral:lncRNA from 1 species